UACAGAGGCCUCGAGCGUUAGGCGGAAUCACUGGGCGUAAAGCGUACGUAGGCGGCUUUGUAAGUUAGAGGUGAAAGCCCGGAGCUCAACUCCGGAACUGCCUUUAAGACUGCAUCGCUAGAAUCCGGGAGAGGUGAGUGGAAUUCCGAGUGUAGAGGUGAAAUUCGUAGAUAUUCGGAAGAACACCAGUGGCGAAGGCGGCUCACUGGACCGGCAUUGACGCUGAGGUACGAAAGCGUGGGGAGCAAACAGG
rnacentral:rRNA from 1 species